rnacentral:misc_RNA from 2 species
GUGGGAGCGAGCUUGCUCGCGAUGGCGUCGUGUCAGUCAGCGAACAGCAGGCUGACCCAGCGCUAUCGCGAGCAAGCUCGCUCCCAC